UGUCGUCAGCUCGUGUUGUGAAAUGUUGGGUUAAGUCCCGCAACGAGCGCAACCCUUAUCCUUUGUUGCCAGCGGUCCGGCCGGGAACUCAAAGGAGACUGCCAGUGAUAAACUGGAGGAAGGUGGGGAUGACGUCAAGUCAUCAUGGCCCUUACGACCAGGGCUACACACGUGCUACAAUGGCGCAUACAAAGAGAAGCGACCUCGCGAGAGCAAGCGGACCUCAUAAAGUGCGUCGUAGUCCGGAUUGGAGUCUGCAACUCGACUCCAUGAAGUCGGAAUCGCUAGUAAUCGUGGAUCAGAAUGCCACGGUGAAUACGUUCCCGGGCCUUGUACACACCGCCCGUCACACCAUGGGAGUGGGUUGCAAAAGAAGUAGGUAGCUUAACCUUCAGGAGGGCGCUUACCACUUUGUGAUUCAUG
rnacentral:rRNA from 1 species